rnacentral:rRNA from 1 species
CAAUAGUUUAUUAAUUGUAUUCCUGAAUAAAAAAAUAAAUUUAAAAAAAAAUAGUUAUAAUAAAAUAAAAAUUAAGCUUAAAGUGAAAACUCUUUAGUAAAAUUUUUAGACGAGAAGACCCUAAAAUCUACAUAUAUUGGGGUAAUAAGAUUAAGUAAUAAUACUUUAAAAAUUUAGAGACCCUAAGAAGCUUAAAAAAGAUACUUUAGGGAUAACAGCAUGAUUCUUGUAAAUGACCAAAUUUAUCAAGUAAAAAUGACCUCGAUGUUGAAUUAAAUAAGUUACCCUAGGGAUAACAGCGUUAUUUUUCUGGAGAGUUCUAAUCGAUAGAGAAGUUUGC